AAUUCUGUAAAGGCUGAGAGAGGUAAGGAAGCUAAAGAAGCUAGGAAGCUGACAGAGGUUUGUUCAUACAGUUUAAGGAAAAACGCUGUAACAUAAAAGUGCAAGGUGGGCUAGGUGUGGUGGCUCACGCCUGUAGUCCCAGCACUUUGUGAGGCCGAGGUGGGUGGAUCAUGAGGUCAAAGAUCGAGACCAUCCUGGCUAACAUAGUGAAACCCCGUCUCUACUAAAAAUACAAAACAUUAGCAGGGCAUGGUGGCGAGCCUCUGUAGUCCCAGCUACUGGGGAGGCUGAGGCAGAAGAAUGGCGUGAACCCGGGAGGCGGAGCUUGCAGUGAGCUGAGAUUGCGCCACUGCACUCCAGCCUGGGUGACAGUACGAGACUCCAUCUCAAAAACAAACAAACAAAAAGCACAAGGUGAAAUAGCAAGUGCUUCUGUAGAAGCUGCAGCAAGUUAUGCAGAAGAUCUAGCAAAGAUGGUGCCAGAAGCAGGAUCUGAAGUGGAGAUUCUAGUGAGCCCCACCAGGAGCGCUGAGUGAACCUGCAAGGCACCUGCAGGACGCACUUGCAUCAUUGAUCUCAUAGAGAGCCUGGAGAUGGUAGGGCAACCAUCUUUCCCGGAGACCACAUGUUGAAACUCCUAAUCAGAGGUUGGAUUAAAGACGACGAGACCCAUCUGGGGGUAAAUCUAAACCUUGUCAGUUUGAUAUUGGGCGCUAAGCAGGGUGGCUCAUGUCUAUGUUUUAUUACAUGUAUUUUGCUCUGGCCAGAACGAAAAAAGGUAACUUUCCUUUAUGAUGUGGCUUGGCCCCCAAGGGUGAUGAUGCCACAGGUCAGAUCACUAGGGCCGCUCAGGUAAAGGGAACCCAGAGGCCUGGCAUGCUGGCAAAAGGGUAAGAAUUUCUUACUAGUCAGAUUUCUGGCUUCUCUCUCUGUGCAAACGGUUGUAUGAAUGGUUAAAAAUCACUGCUUAUCUCCUCUUAAAGUUUUACUGUGGAAAAAUAAUUCUGAGACUAGUUCUAUGCUGUAGUUCAUCUGCGUUAUUUUGUGCUAUGAAUUCAUUUUUCUGUGUCAAAGGGUACCUUAUAAAACAUGGGCUCCGCACCCCAUAAGCCGGCUGCUCAAGAUGGCCCAGCAAGCUGGUCAGUAACAAACUCUGCUGCAAGUCCCUAAAACAAACAAAAAACUGGAUGGGGUCUCCAUCUUUUUUAUGUCCCUGGGAGUUUGACCUUAUAACCAUGUGGCAGGAUUUUCUCUUGGUCUCCACCUUCCAGGGAACAGGAAUUUUAGGGUUUAUGUCAUAGUUUGCUCUAAAAAUUAUCUGGAGUAAUUAAAACUCUUUGUAAGCUCAAAAUUAACUACUCCAAACUUCCUCUGGGAAGAGCAGCAGAGAUUUACCUGUGCUAUAUAGCGUGGUAGCUAAGGAUUUUGCCCUUUCACACUGGCGGUCUGGGUUCAAUUCCCUUCUUAGAAAGUGAGUCCUUUCUGGUUUAAUAUCUGCAUGACCUUGUCUGUUCUUUUCCUUCACGGACUAUCUUAAAUUUUCUUUAUCUGGGAACCCGGGAGGUUACCUUUGGUAAAGAUCAAAAGCCAGAAAUAUCGACCAGCUGACCUGGCUAAAAUCAGGUAAUAAGAACUUUUAAAAGGACUUUAUUAAAGAGUGCUAUGGUUAAAAGUCAGCUUAAUUAAGUGUGAAUAUUCAAGCUCUAACAGCCUGGACUCCUUGGAGAAAACAAGAGGUGCCAGAGACCCUUUUCCUGGCCCUGUUCUUCCAAGGACUCCACCAUAAAGUCAAUAACCAAUUAAACUUAUAAAUCUUACAACUACUAUAGUAAUCUUCUGUCUGUGUAAUUAUAUAUGCAUUGUGUGUAAUGUUUAUAUAAGAGCUCUAAUUAAUUGGUUUAAACAAAAAUAAACACUUAAAUAUAUUGAAAGCAAAAUAAGAACUGUAAUGCCUUUUAGUUCAUGUAACUUUAGUAAUCUUUGGGAAAUAAAAACAGCUUUAGGCCAGGUACCGUGGCUCACGCAUUUAAUCCCAGCACUUUGGGAGGCCAAGGUGGGUGGAUCACCUGAGGUCGGAUCACCUGGCCAAUGUGAAACCCUGUAUCUACUAAAAAUGUAAAAAUUAGCCAAGUGUCAUGGCAGGUGCCUGUAAUCCCGGCUACUUGGGAGGCUGAGGCAGGAGAAUCCCUUGAACACAGGAGGCGGAGGUUGCAGUGAGCCAAGAUUGUGCCAUUGCACUCCAGCCUGGACAACAAGAGUGAAACUGUCUCAAAAAAACACAAACAAACAAACAAACAAAAAAACCAAAAAAAAAAAA
rnacentral:lncRNA from 1 species